CAGAGCAUUACCAGAGGUGCUGUUCUCCAAAAGGAUGCCAUGACAGUGAUGGUGCUCAAUGCAAUAGACCCAUUUGAAUAUGAGUCAUCAAAACACUAAGUAAAAAAAAAAAAUGUUUCAUGCUACAGUGGCCACUGUGAAUGAAUAUUUCCAUGUGAAAGUUUUCAACAUCAACCUGAAAGAGAAGUUCACAAAAAAGAAUGUCAUAAUAAUCUCCAAUUACUUCAAGUUCAAAGGAAUCCUAGAGAUAAAUGAGGCUUCCUCUGUGUUUGAAGCUGGUCCUGACCAGAAGAUUGAAGUCACCAACAGUCUUAUCAGAGAAGCAAAUAAACCUCCCAAGUUUUCUGAUUUUCCCAACUAUGGCCUUGGAGUAGUGGUUUAUGGGUUGUUUACAUUACAUAAGAAAAAAGUGAACCCAAAGACCACAAUCUACGAAAUACAGGAUGAUUGGGAAAAUAACAUAGAAGUUGUAGGGCAUGGAAAAUGGUACAACAUCAACGGUAAAGAAGGAGAUAAAUUUCAACUCUUCUGCUUUCAACUGAAAACAAUUGACAAGCAACUGAAGUUGGUGUGUGGUGAUCACAGUUUCAUUAAGCAGCGGCAAAGAGCCAUCCUCUAUAAGCGGCUCAAGGUACCUCCUGCCAUUAACCAGUUCACACAGGCCCUGGACCGGCAAACAGCUACCCAGCUGCUUAAGCUUGCUCACAAGUACAGGCCAGAGACAAAGCAGGAGAAGAAGCAAAGGCUGCUGGCCCGAGCUGAGAAGAAAGCUGCUGGCAAAGGGGACGUCCCGACUAAAAGACCACCUGUCCUCCGAGCAGGGGUCAAUAGAGUCACCACCUUGGUGGAGAACAAGAAGGCUCAGCUGGUGGUCAUUGCCCACGAUGUAGACCCCAUUGAGCUGGUGGUCUUCCUGCCUGCCCUGUGCCAAAAGAUGGGGGUCCCCUACUGCAUCAUCAAGGGAAAGGCCAGGCUGGGGCGGCUGGUCCACAGGAAGACAUGCACCACUGUUGCCUUCACACAGGUUAACUCGGAAGACAAGGGUGCUCUGGCUAAGCUGGUGGAAGCUAUUAGGACCAAUUACAACGACAGAUAUGAUGAGAUCCACCGCCACUGGGGAGGCAACGUCCUGGGUCCUAAAUCUGUGGCUCGGAUUGCCAAGCUGGAAAAGGCAAAGGCCAAAGAACUCGCCACUAAAUUGGGUUAAAUGUACACUGCUAAGUUUUCUGUACAUAAAUAUAAUUACAAACUUA